UAAAAAGUAUAAAAAACUGUUAACUAUAAUAUGAAAAAAAUAUAUAUUAUGGAAUAGAUAACGGAUAAAUUAUAAUACAUAACAGUCGAAAACCGUUAUGUAUAAUCAAUAUAGAUAACGGUUUUAUAACCGUUAUGUAUGUGUGGUUGUACUGUUAUCUUUUCCCUUCAUAGAUAACGGUUUUUAAAUCGUUGUGUAUGACAUAUAUCAUAGAUAACACCACUAUACACAACGGUUUUUUUGCUCAUAGAUAACGGAAAAAAUCCGUUAUCUAUGAGCGUUUUUCUAGUAGUGUCAUUAGUAGAGGGUAACAUACAAGCUCAACGUCAAAACUUGGCAAGUCAAUAGUUCUCAAACGUCAUUCAUCUCAAAAACAUUUGGUAAACUCAUAAAUAUCAUCAUCAUAAUAGUUUUGAAAGCUCGUAAUAUAUGUAUACUCAAAAUAAUGCCCACCUGAACAACUUAGCUCAAGCACCUGUUAGAAAAGGGGCAACUUACUCCUUCACUCCACUCAUGUCUUCAUGUAUCAUCAUCAUCGUUGAAGGUUCAUGUGAUAAAUAAACCUUAGUUAGUAACUCUUCCAAAACUCCAAUCUUAUUCAAACUUAACUCAUCAUCAUCUUCUAUAUACCCAAGUAAAUCUCGUCCCUAGGUAUACUUAACCUAAGGAUUCACAAGUCCUACUUCGACUUAACACUCAACUCGGAUUAAAACUCAUAGCAAUCAAGCACAUAAGCAAGCAUAAGCACAUAAGCAUAUAAGUUCACACAUAACAUAUCACAAACAAACAUCAUUCUGCACUACUCAAUUAAAAACUUCACCAGAUCGGUACAGAACUCCCUGGAGUCGUGACAUACAGAAACCCUUUGAGUCUAGUUUCAUUAAAAAAAGUAGGAUGAAAAACUCAAGUAAUUUAGGAGAUAUGACUGUUUUCUACAGUCUACCAUAUUCGGCAGUUUUAGCAAUGAAAUUGAUUUUUGAAAAAUAGUAAAGUUGCAAAAAGCUUGAAAUUUGUGGUAUUAUCUAAGACACUCAUGUCUUAAAAUAAAAAUUUGGCUCCAAAAGUUAGGAAAAUCUGGAAAAGGUGACUCUAUUGCUACUCACCGAACAUUUCGGCAGAAUGUAGCAGUUUUGGUUUUCUAUUUUAUAAAAAUAGUAAACGAAGUCCAAUUGACUUGAUAUUUUACCGGUAUGCUCAAGACUCUCAUAUAUACUUAUCAUAAACUUUUCAUGGUGUUUGGGUGACAACAACCCAUCGAAAACAGUAGGUCAGCGACCUUAGAAGGUUUCUCAAACAUGACUCUCAACUCAAACACACAAGCAUACAUGCUCAACUCUACACUCCUUCAAUGAAAACUUCUCAAAACUCAUCUUAAAUAUUUAUAACACUAAAAAAAACAUUCAAGCAUGAAUGUAUUACUCAUCACAACCCAAACUCGACUCUUCUCUUACAUCUCAAACUCAAAUCUCAAAGAAAACGUUUCAAAGAACGCAUCAUUUCAAAUCUCAUCUCAUUUUCAUGCUCAAAAGUGCUCAAUUACUCAUAUUUGACCUCAUGCAUCAUAUAACUCACCACACAUACAUAGAUUCUCUUUUAUCAAGCAAACUAAACUCGGAGAAAAAAAAACUCACGUAUCAACGUGUGGACUCUUAAUUAAGGCAUGACAAACAUUCACAUAAUGAUCGUAUAGCAAAUAAACCUUAUUAAACCAAUCAUUGACCUCACAAUAUAUGAAUACCCAAAACUUUUGUAAACUAAACUAAGUCAAAAUUUCAUAUAACCAACAUUUAACCUAACCAAACAUCAUUAGACUCUAAUAUUAUGCUCAAUUUCAUUUAUCCUUAGUCAAUUCACUUAAUUAACACAUAGGCACGAAAGUCCUAAUUUUGGUUAAACUAAACUUUUUGAAAUUCCACAAAGACAUAUGAAACAUUAAUCCAACCUUAGAUCUAUCAAUUAAAACCAUUUAAUCUCACAUAUAAACCAUCAAUUAACAAUUUAGGGCAUAGAUACACAUAUCCCUAAUUUCAUCAAACUAACUCACAUCAAAGUCAUCAAUUAACAUCACAUCCUCAAUCUAAUCCAUCAAUCAUCAUCUUAGACAUCUCAUAAUCUCAUACUCAUCAUCAAUUUCUCAUUUAAGACAUCAACUCACAAUUUCCAAAUUUUAGGUAAACUAAACUAAAUCAAACUUUGCAUCUCAAGACAUAGCUUUUCAAUACACACAUCAAUCAUCACUAAACAUCACAUAGAACCCAUUUCUCACCCCAAUUUAAGGAAAGAAAAAGAAAUUUUUUUGAAGGGCAUAAACCCAUAAUUUUCGAAAAUCUUAAAAAAAAAGGGUGAGGGGUGUUUUUUUGGUUCAAUCUUCCAUACAAGCUCACAUAUAACAUCAUAGAAGCUAGAUCUAUGAAAUUAAAGACCACUUACCCAAGAUAACACCAAGAACACAACUUUCUCUUUCUAACUCCAAGACUAAACUUCCAAGGAUUUUCUUGAAUUCUAGGAGAUAGAAGUGUUUAGGCUAGAUUUAGAGGUGGAUUUGAGCUCUUGGUAUGAACUAGGAAGCUUUGAAGGUCUUCAUUAAUGGUGGUUAAUGGAGGAAAGAGAGAGAUGAGGGAGAGAGAGAGUGGUCGAAUUGAGGGGUGAGGGAGAGAGAAAAUUUUGCAAGAUUUGUUUUGAUACUAUGAUCUUUGAGAAGAUUUGGCAUUUAAUGUCAUGUUUCCCUAAUCUCUACACCCC
rnacentral:lncRNA from 1 species